CCCUCCGCUCCUUGGCGCCCGACCCCGCCAGCACACACCGGCUCCUCCGGGCGGUACAGCCCCCGCCCCGGGGCGCUCCCCGAGGCCCAGGCACACGCUCGGCGGAGGAGCAGAGGUUUGUAAAGGCGGGCCGGGGCAGAGCCGGGGGCUGAGCGGUCUGGUAGAGGGCAGCUCGGCGGGAUGGGACGGGAGGGGACGGGGCCGGCACCUGGGGAGCUGCCCCCGCCCCGCUCCGCGCAGAGGCCGGGCCGGGAGGUUGCCGUGUGUCGGGUGGGCGCCGAAUCCAAUUUGUCGGGAAUGAUGCUGUAGGCGGAGAUGAGAGGCAGAGCUAACGGGGCUUUUGCAGCCCCAGCGCUCGUCAGGGCAGAGAGAUGUAACGGCGCCCUAAUCCCCAGCUCUGCAGCGGGAAUGUCGGUGCCCCCGCUGGCGGCAGGGACGGGUGUCCCCCUCUGCAGAACGAAGGCGCCCGGGAAUUUCGCUGGACACCGACGAACGACUCCUCCCCUUCUCCCGCCCCGAAGCAGACGGUUCCUGUAAGAUGCAUCAUUAUAUUGUGCAGUGUAAAGGACAGGGAAGGAAACUACAAUUUUUUUUCUCCGUAGAGCUGAAAUUCAAAGCGGUAAGCUAAUGCUUUUUUUCAUAAUUCCAAUGCCCCUUGCACAUGGCUUGAAAUAUUUCAGAUGUACUCUGAAAAUAACAAAUUUUUAGGUAAUUUUAUAUUCUCAUCUUUCACAAAGAGACAAGUCAGUUUUCUGGAAUAUAAAGUUCUUUAGUCUCCUAGGGGCAAAAAGGCAAUUCAAGCUUCUCGGAGCAACUUCAAGAGCCGUGAUAGCAACCAGUGUUAUUAGAGCAUCUUAGUUUUUCAGAAGCUCAUCAACUGUAAUGACCCUGAUAGCCUGGAUUUGGAUUCAGAGGAUGUUGACACAACCUUAUCAACACGGACACAUCUCCAUCUUCACUUACAAUGUCCCAGGGACACAUAAUUUAAGAACAUUAUAAUGCACAAAUGCUGCUGUUACAAAGACAAAGAACAGCGGGGGAGAUUUAUUUCCUCACAACAGUACCAUUGAUAAGGAAGAAAGAUGUGCAAGUGUUCAGAAAAGUUGUGGACAUGGAACGAUUAAAACUAACAGAAAAAUAUUCCAGUGGAUAGAGUCAAAAAGCAGUUCUUUAAUUUUUAAAUUUGCACAGCAAUAACUGAGACAAAUGAGCCUCUGAAAUAUUUUGGAAAAUGUCACUUUGCAAACCUUGUAGAUUGCUUAAAUGUUUAUUAAAAUGGACCAAAAGCCAAAAUUCUCUGGGUAAAAUAAAUACUUUGUCUUUGCUAAGUAACA
rnacentral:lncRNA from 1 species